AAUAUAUUUCCACCAUCCUCUACUAUAUAUAUAUAGUAUAUAUAUAGUAGAGGAUGGGGGAAAUAUAGU